CCUACGGGCGGCAGCAGUGGGGGAUAUUGCACAAUGGGGGGAACCCUGAUGCAGCGACGCCGCGUGGGUGAAGAAGCGCCUCGGCGCGUAAAGCCCUGUCAGCAGGGAAGAAAAUGACGGUACCUGACGAAGAAGCCCCGGCUAACUACGUGCCAGCAGCCGCGGUAAUACGUAGGGGGCAAGCGUUAUCCGGAUUUACUGGGUGUAAAGGGGGCGCAGACGGCGAUGCAAGCCAGGAGUGAAAGCCCGGGGCCGAACCCCGGGACUGCUCUUGGAACUGCGUGGCUGGAGUGCAGGAGGGGCAGGCGGAAUUCCUGGUGUAGGGGUGAAAUGCGUAGAUAUCAGGAGGAACACCGGUGGCGAAGGCGGCCUGCUGGACUGCAACUGACGUUGAGGCCCGAAAGCGUGGGGAGCAAACAGGAUUAGAUACCCGGGUAGUC
rnacentral:rRNA from 1 species